GGCGGGCUGAUCCCCGAAUGUGAUGUGUCCGACUUAAUGUGGGCGGGUUUCACAGAACGCCCAUCGUGAAACCAGGUUACGAACUUAAUACUGACGCUCAGGCACGAAAGCGUGGGGAUCAAACAGGAUUAGAUACCCUGGUAGUCCACGCUGUAAACGAUGAUCACUCGUUGUUGGUUCCCAAUAAUCAUUGGCCAAGCGAAAGGCAUAAUUGAUCCACCUGGGGAGUACGAUCGCAAGGUUGAAACUC
rnacentral:rRNA from 1 species